AGCCUGCCCACCCUGGAAA
rnacentral:snRNA from 1 species